rnacentral:rRNA from 1 species
CCUAGGGGUGCUCCAGUGGGGAAUAUUGGACAAUGGGGGAAACCCUGAUCCAGCAAUGCCGCGUGUGUGAAGAAGGCCUGCGGGUUGUAAAGCACUUUCGGUUGGGAGGACUGCUUCUAGCACUAAUAUUGUUGGAAGUUGACGUUACCUUCAGAAGAAGCACCGGCUAAGUCCGUGCCAGCAGCCGCGGUAAUACGGAGGGUGCAAGCGUUAAUCGGAAUUACUGGGCGUAAAGCGCGCGUAGGCGGCUAGAUCAGUCGGGUGUGAAAGCCCCGGGCUUAACCUGGGAACUGCAUCCGAUACUGUCUAGCUUGAGUACAGGAGAGGAGAGUGGAAUUCCACAUGUAGCGGUGAAAUGCGUAGAUAUGUGGAGGAACACCAAUGGCGAAGGCAGCUCUCUGGCCUGAUACUGACGCUGAGGCGCGAAAGCGUGGGGAGCAAACAGGAUUAGAUACCCCCGUAGUC